rnacentral:tRNA from 1 species
AGGAUAAUAGUUUAAUUAAAACAUUUAAAUUGCAAUUAAAAAAUAUUAAUAAUUAAUUUAUCUUA